GGGCGUAAAGCGCGCGUAGGUGGCCAUUUAAGUCCGCUGUGAAAGUCAGAGGCUCAACCUUUGAAAGCCGGUGGAUACUGGAUGGCUAGAGUACGGAAGAGGCGAGUGGAAUUCCUGGUGUAGCGGUGGAAUGCGCAGAUAUCAGGAGGAACACCAAUAGCGAAGGCAGCUCGCUGGGACGUUACUGACACUAAGGCGCGAAAGCGUGGGGAGCGAACAGGAUUAGAUACCCUGGUAGUCCACGCCGUAAACGAUGGGUACUAGGUGUGGGAGGUGUCGACUCCUCCCGUGCCGUCGCUAACGCACUAAGUACCCCGCCUGGGGAGUACGGCCGCAAGGCUAAAACUCAAAGGAAUUGACGGGGGCCCGCACAAGCAGCGGAGCAUGUGGUUUAAUUCGACGCAACGCGAAGAACCUUACCUGGGCUUGACAUGUCAGUGACCGCCGUGGAAACACGGUUUUCCUUCGGGACACUGUCACAGGUGGUGCAUGGCUGUCGUCAGCUCGUGUCGUGAGAUGUUGGGUUAAGUCCCGCAACGAGCGCAACCCCCGUCCUAUGUUGCCAUCAUUAAGUUGGGGACUCAUAGGAGACUGCCGGUGACAAACCGGAGGAAGGUGGGGAUGACGUCAAGUCAUCAUGCCCCUUAUGUUCAGGGCUACACACGUGCUACAUUGGCGCAUACAAAGGGCAGCAAUACCGUGAGGUGGAGCAAAUCCCAUAAAGUGCGCCUCGGUUCGGAUUGGAGGCUGAACUCGCCUCCAUGAAGUGGAGUUGCUAGUAAUCGCAGAUCAGCAAUGCUGCGGUGAUACGUUCCCGGCCUUGUACUCAC
rnacentral:rRNA from 1 species